rnacentral:rRNA from 1 species
CAAUAGCGUAUAUUAAAGUUGUUGCAGUUAAAAAGCUCGUAGUUGGAUUUGUGGCGUACGGUGUGUUCCGGGCACUUGUUGUCUGAGUAACCUGCUGUUGCCAUCCUUGGGUGGAACCUGUGUGGCAUUAGGUUGUCGUGCAGGGGAUGCCCACCAUUUACUGUGAAAAAAUUAGAGUGUUCAAAGCAGGCUUAUGCCGUUGAAUAUAUUAGCAUGGAAUAAUGAGAUAGGACUUUUUUGCUAUUUUGUUGGUUUGCGCAAAGAGGUAAUGAUUAAUAGGGACAGUUGGGGGUAUUCGUAUUCCAUAGUCAGAGGUGAAAUUCUUGGAUUUUUGGAAGACGAACUACUGCGAAAGCAUUUACCAAGGAUGUUUUCAUUAA